GACGAACGCUGGCGGCGUGCUUAACACAUGCAAGUCGAACGAUGAAGCCGGAGCUUGCUCUGGUGAAUUAGUGGCGAACGGGUGAGUAACACGUGGGUGAUCUGCCCUGCACUUCGGGAUAAGCCUGGGAAACUGGGUCUAAUACCGGAUAGGACCACUGCCUGCAUGGGUGGUGGUGGAAAGCUUUUGCGGUGUGGGAUGGGCCCGCGGCCUAUCAGCUUGUUGGUGGGGUGAUGGCCUACCAAGGCGACGACGGGUAGCCGGCCUGAGAGGGUGACCGGCCACACUGGGACUGAGAUACGGCCCAGACUCCUACGGGAGGCAGCAGUGGGGAAUAUUGCACAAUGGGCGCAAGCCUGAUGCAGCGACGCCGCGUGAGGGAUGACGGCCUUCGGGUUGUAAACCUCUUUCAGCACCGACGAAGCGCAAGUGACGGUAGGUGCAGAAGAAGGACCGGCCAACUACGUGCCAGCCGCCGCCGUAA
rnacentral:rRNA from 1 species